rnacentral:rRNA from 1 species
AGUGAACGCUGGCGGCGUGCUUAACACAUGCAAGUCGAACGAGAACGGAUUAUAGCUUGCUAUAAUUGUCAGCUAAGUGGCGCACGGGUGAGUAAUGUAUAGGUAAUAUGCCUCUUACUAAGGGAUAACAAAUGGAAACGUUUGCUAAUACCUUAUACUCCUUAUUAACAUAAGUUAAUAAGGGAAAGAUUUAUUGGUAAGAGAUUAGCCUGUAUUGUAUCAGUUAGUUGGUGGGGUAAUGGCUUACCAAGACUAUGACACAUAACUGGUUUGAGAGGAUGAUCAGUCACACUGGAACUGAGACACGGUCCAGACUCCUACGGGAGGCAGCAGUGGGGAAUAUUGCACAAUGGACGAAAGUCUGAUGCAGCAACGCCGCGUGGAGGAUGACACAUUUCGGUGCGUAAACUCCUUUUAUAUGAGAAGAUAAUGACGGUAUUAUAUGAAUAAGCACCGGCUAACUCCGUGCCAGCAGCCGCCGUAA